rnacentral:rRNA from 1 species
GAUGAACGCUGGCGGCGUGCCUAACACAUGCAAGUCGAGCGAUUCUCUUCGGAGAAGAGCGGCGGACGGGUGAGUAACGCGUGGGUAACCUGCCCUGUACACACGGAUAACAUACCGAAAGGUAUGCUAAUACGAGAUAAUAUACUUUUAUCGCAUGGUAGAAGUAUCAAAGCUCCGGCGGUACAGGAUGGACCCGCGUCUGAUUAGCUAGUUGGUAAGGUAACGGCUUACCAAGGCGACGAUCAGUAGCCGACCUGAGAGGGUGAUCGGCCACAUUGGAACUGAGACACGGUCCAAACUCCUACGGGAGGCAGCAGUGGGGAAUAUUGCACAAUGGGCGAAAGCCUGAUGCAGCAACGCCGCGUGAGCGAUGAAGGCCUUCGGGUCGUAAAGCUCUGUCCUCAAGGAAGAUAAUGACGGUACUUGAGGAGGAAGCCCCGGCUAACUACGUGCCAGCAGCCGCCGUAAAAC